GACGAACGCUGGCGGCGUGCCUAAUACAUGCAAGUAGAACGCUGAAGAGAGGAGCUUGCUCUUCUUGGAUGAGUUGCGAACGGGUGAGUAACGCGUAGGUAACCUGCCUUGUAGCGGGGGAUAACUAUUGGAAACGAUAGCUAAUACCGCAUAACAAUGGAUGACACAUGUCAUUUAUUUGAAAGGGGCAAUUGCUCCACUACAAGAUGGACCUGCGUUGUAUUAGCUAGUAGGUGAGGUAAUGGCUCACCUAGGCGACGAUACAUAGCCGACCUGAGAGGGUGAUCGGCCACACUGGGACUGAGACACGGCCAGACUCCUACGGGAGGCAGCAGUAGGGAAUCUUCGGCAAUGGGGGCAACCCUGACCGAGCAACGCCGCGUGAGUGAAGAAGGUUUUCGGAUCGUAAAGCUCUGUUGUAAGUCAAGAACGGGUGUGAGAGUGGAAAGUUCACACUGUGACGGUAGCUUACCAGAAAGGGACGGCUAACUACGUG
rnacentral:rRNA from 1 species